rnacentral:lncRNA from 1 species
GGAAUUGGUGGGUUCUUGGUCUCACUGACGUCAAGAAUGAAGCCGCGGACCCUCGCGGUGAGUGUUACAGUUCUUAAAGGCUGCGUGUCCGGAGUUUGUUCCUUCUGAUGUUCAGAUGUGUUCGGAGUUUCUUCCUUCUGGUGGGUUCGUGGUCUCCCUGGCUCAGGAGUGAAGCUGCAGACCUUCGCAGUGAGCGUUACAGCUCUUUAGGCGGCGCGUCUGGAGUUGUUCGUUCUUCUCGGUGGGCUCAUGGUCUUGCUGGCUUCAGGAGUGAAGCUGCAGACCUUCAGGAUUACUUCUUUUGGAUUGCAAUCUAGCUUUGGGACUAAUUUUAACAGCCUUAACACAAGUUGAGAAACUGCCUUCUAAUUGUAUCAAUUUAACUUCCAGAGGAGCGUAAGAGUGUUUCACUGCUUCCUUAUCCAGGGACUUUCAAAGACUUAAAAGUUAAUAACACUAGUUUUUUUGUUUGUUUGCUUUUUG